rnacentral:rRNA from 1 species
UACGUAGGGGGCAAGCGUUGUCCGGAAUCAUUGGGCGUAAAGGGCGCGUAGGCGGCCACCGCAAGUCGACUGUGAAAUCUCCGGGCUUAACCCGGAAAGGUCAGCCGAUACUGCGGGGCUAGAGUGCAGAAGGGGCAACUGGAAUUCUCGGUGUAGCGGUGAAAUGCGUAGAUAUCGAGAGGAACACCUGCGGCGAAGGCGGGUUGCUGGGCUGACACUGACGCUGAUGCGCGAAAGCUAGGGGAGCGAACGGG